ACAUUCCGAAGUUCUGUGAAAAGAGGCACUAGCGCUCAGCCACGCAAGGCAGGAAAAGAGAGGAAGUUUUCGCAUUCUGAUUGCAGCCUGAGUUCCCCGUAGCAAGGCUGCUUCUCUCCACCCACUCCUCACCAAGAACUCCUGAACUUGAGGGUGGACGACUUCAAAGCUAGCUCCCACAGACUCACCUGAAAAAGAGUUCAGCUGCGCGUUCAUUGAACCUGAUCACCUAUGUGAGGCGGUGGGAACCAUAUGGAGAUUUAUAUUAGAACUUCAGCAAAGUGCACAGCUGCAGCCGGCCGAAGCCAGCUCUCGGGCUGACAGGCAAAUGAACCAGAUCCUGGACGGGGCCUCUGGGUGGCAGCUCCGGCCUUUUGGUUGUUGGACAACUAUAGUCAGAACUGAAGUGGAACAGGGGCAGGAGAAAUAAUACACUUUUACUCCACGCAACUGUUGCUUUCACAUGAUCUUCAGGAAUGUAACUGGGAUAAUUGUCCAAAUCAAAUCCCAUGCCCUGUCAUGGUACUGAUUAUUAAGGUGACUCUAUGAAAGGAUCACUCCAAAAUGACACACACCAGAAUAGAGGUCCUGUCUUACUAAGCACUAUACAGUAUGGAGAGAUCCUGCCAAACCCGUCGGGACGAAUAACAGAUGAAUUCGUAAAACUGUUCAUCUCUGUUAUCCUGAAUGGUCGCUCAGACAACAUUUUACUCAACUAUAAAGGCAUUUGAACUGGUCGAACAGGACGACAGAGCAGUGAGCAUGAGAUCAUUGCAGCCGAGUAGCAAACUGGCACCCAGCCUUUUCACCCCUUCGGUUCGGGAGACGAACGUGUGCAGUCCUCGUUUCUCAAGUCAGCACAGCCUGGAAGGAUUCCGGGGCUCUCCCACCUUCUACCAUUCUGCUGCCAGUCGGUGGCAACGAUUGGUACAGAUUCUGCGCAGUGCUUUGUGCCUGGAAUAUGGAGAAGGAAGAGAAUGAAGACAAGCCCUCUGGACCUCCUUCUCUGAGAAAUACUGGGAGCCCAGAAG
rnacentral:lncRNA from 1 species